rnacentral:rRNA from 1 species
UACGUAGGGGGCAAGCGUUGUCCGGAAUCAUUGGGCGUAAAGCGCGUGUAGGCGGCUGGGUAAGUCCGCUCUGAAAGCCCGGGGCUCAACCCCGGGAGGCGGGUGGAUACUGCUCAGCUCGAGUCCGGAAGAGGAGUGUGGAAUUCCUGGUGUAGCGGUGAAAUGCGCAGAUAUCAGGAGGAACACCAAUGGCGAAGGCAGCACUCUGGGACGGUACUGACG